GAUGAACGCUGGCGGCGUGCCUAAUACAUGCAAGUCGAGCGAACGGACGAGAAGCUUGCUUCUCUGAUGUUAGCGGCGGACGGGUGAGUAACACGUGGAUAACCUACCUAUAAGACUGGGAUAACUUCGGGAAACCGGAGCUAAUACCGGAUAAUAUUUUGAACCGCAUGGUUCAAAAGUGAAAGACGGUCUUGCUGUCACUUAUAGAUGGAUCCGCGCUGCAUUAGCUAGUUGGUAAGGUAACGGCUUACCAAGGCAACGAUGCAUAGCCGACCGGAGAGGGUGAUCGGCCACACUGGAACUGAGACACGGUCCAGACUCCUACGGGAGGCAGCAGUAGGGAAUCUGCCGCAAUGGGCGAAAGCCUGACGGAGCAACGCCGCGUGAGUGAUGAAGGUCUUCGGAUCGUAAAACUCUGUUAUUAGGGAAGAACAUAUGUGUAAGUAACUGUGCACAUCUUGACGGUACCUAAUCAGAAAGCCACGGCUAACUACGU
rnacentral:rRNA from 1 species